rnacentral:rRNA from 1 species
AUUGAACGCUGGCGGCAUGCCUUACACAUGCAAGUCGAACGGCAGCACGGGUGCUUGCACCUGGUGGCGAGUGGCGAACGGGUGAGUAAUACAUCGGAACAUGUCCUGUAGUGGGGGAUAGCCCGGCGAAAGCCGGAUUAAUACCGCAUACGAUCUACGGAUGACAGCGGGGGACCUUCGGGCCUCGCGCUGUAGGGUUGGCCGAUGGCUGAUUAGCUAGUUGGUGGGGUAAAGGCCUACCAAGGCGACGAUCAGUAGCUGGUCUGAGAGGACGACCAGCCACACUGGGACUGAGACACGGCCCAGACUCCUACGGGAGGCAGCAGUGGGGAAUUUUGGACAAUGGGCGAAAGCCUGAUCCAGCAAUGCCGCGUGUGUGAAGAAGGCCUUCGGGUUGUAAAGCACUUUUGUCCGGAAAGAAAUCCUUGGCCCUAAUACGGUCGGGGGAUGACGGUACCGGAAGAAUAAGCACCGGCUAACUACGUG